rnacentral:rRNA from 1 species
AAUCUUCGGCAAUGGGCGAAAGCCUGACCGAGCAACGCCGCGUGAAUGAUGAAGGCCNNNGGGUUNUCAAAUUCUGUUAUAAGNGACNAACGACUUUAGUAGGAAAUGGCUAGAGUGUGACGGUACCUUAUGAGAAAGCCACGGCUAACUACGUGCCAGCAGCCGCGGUAAUACGUAGGUGGCGAGCGUUAUCCGGAAUUAUUGGGCGUAAAGAGCGCGCAGGUGGUUGAUUAAGUCUGAUGUGAAAGCCCACGGCUUAACCGUGGAGGGUCAUUGGAAACUGGUCGACUUGAGUGCAGAAGAGGGAAGUGGAAUUCCAUGUGUAGCGGUGAAAUGCGUAGAGAUAUGGAGGAACACCAGUGGCGAAGGCGGCUUCCUGGUCUGUAACUGACACUGAGGCGCGAAAGCGUGGGGAGCAAACA